UUGACCUCGAAUCAGGUAGGAAUACCCGCUGAACUUAAGCAUAUCAAUAAGCGGAGGAAAAGAAACCAACAGGGAUUGCCCUAGUAACGGCGAGUGAAGCGGCAACAGCUCAAAUUUGAAAUCUGGCCCUAGGCCCGAGUUGUAAUUUGCAGAGGAUGCUUCGGGCGCGGUGCCUUCCAAGUCCCCUGGAACGGGGCGCCGGAGAGGGUGAGAGCCCCGUACGGUUGGCGGCCAAGCCUGUGUGAAGCUCCUUCGACGAGUCGAGUAGUUUGGGAAUGCUGCUCUAAGCGGGAGGUAGACCCCUUCUAAAGCUAAAUAUAGGCCAGAGACCGAUAGCGCACAAGUAGAGUGAUCGAAAGAUGAAAAGCACUUUGAAAAGAGGGUUAAAUAGCACGUGAAAUUGUUGAAAGGGAAGCGCUUGUGACCAGACGUGCGCCGGGGUGUUCAGCGGGCGUUCUCGCCCGUGCACUCGCCUCGGCGCAGGCCAGCGUCGGUUCGAGUGGGAGGAUAAAGGCGUCUGGAAUGUGGCUCCUCCGGGAGUGUUAUAGCCAGACGUGCCAUGCUCCCGCCCGGACCGAGGUACGCGUUCUGCAAGGACGCUGGCGUAAUGGUCUCCAGCGACCCGUCUUGAAACACGGACCAAGGAGUCGAGGUUUUGCGCGAGUGUUUGGGUGUUAAACCCGCACGCGUAAUGAAAGUGAACGUAGGUGGGAGCUUCGGCGCACCACCGACCGAUCCUGAUGUUUUCGGAUGGAUUUGAGUAAGAGCGUAGGGCCUCGGACCCGAAAGAUGGUGAACUAUGCUUGGAUAGGGUGAAGCCAGAGGAAACUCUGGUGGAGGCUCGCAGCGGUUCUGACGUGCAAAUCGAUCGUCAAAUCUGAGCAUGGGGGCGAAAGACUAAUCGAACCAUCUAGUAGCUGGUUACCGCCGAAGUUUCCCUCAGGAUAGCAGUGUUGUUCUUCAGUUUUAUGAGGUAAAGCGAAUGAUUAGGGACUCGGGGGCGCUAUUUAGCCUUCAUCCAUUCUCAAACUUUAAAUAUGUAAGAAGCCCUUGUUGCUUAAUUGAACGUGGGCAUUCGAAUGUAUCAACACUAGUGGGCCAUUUUUGGUAAGCAGAACUGGCGAUGUGGGAUGAACCAUACGGGGGGUUAAGGUGCCAGAGUAGACGCUCAUCAGACACCACAAAAGGCGUUAGCACAUCUUGACAGCAGGACGGUGGCCAUGGAAGUCGGAAUCCGCUAAGGACUGUGUAACAACUCACCUGCCGAAUGUGCUAGCCCUGAAAAUGGAUGGCGCUCAAGCGUCUCACCCAUACCCCCCCCUCAGGGUAGAAACGAUGCCCUGAGGAGUAGGCGGCCGCAGUGCUGU
rnacentral:rRNA from 1 species